UACGGAGGGUGCAAGCGUUUCUCGGAAUUAUUGGGCGUAAAGCGCGUGUAGGCGGCUAUUUAAGUCUGGUGUGAAAGCCCGGGGCCUAACCCCGGAAGUGCACUGGAUACUGGAUGGCUAGAGGACGGGAGAGGAGAGUGGAAUUCCUGGUGUAGGGGUGAAAUCCGUAGAUAUCAGGAGGAACAUCGGAAGCGAAGGCGGCUCUCUGGCCCGUAUCUGACGCUCAGACGCGAAAGCGUGGGUAGCAAACAGG
rnacentral:rRNA from 1 species